rnacentral:rRNA from 1 species
UGGGCGUAAGCGCGCGCAGGUGGUUUCUUAAGUCUGAUGUGAAAGCCCACGGCUCAACCGUGGAGGGUCAUUGGAAACUGGGAGACUUGAGUGCAGAAGAGGAAAGUGGAAUUCCAUGUGUAGCGGUGAAAUGCGUAGAGAUAUGGAGGAACACCAGUGGCGAAGGCGACUUUCUGGUCUGUAACUGACACUGAGGCGCGAAAGCGUGGGGAGCAAACAGGAUUAGAUACCCUGGUAGUCCACGCCGUAAACGAUGAGUGCUAAGUGUUAGAGGGUUUCCGCCCUUUAGUGCUGAAGUUAACGCAUUAAGCACUCCGCCUGGGGAGUACGGCCGCAAGGCUGAAACUCAAAGGAAUUGACGGGGGCCCGCA